AGCUUUAUAGUCAAAAAUGAUAUUAAAUUGCAAAUUUAAAGGUAAAUAUAAUUUUAAAGCUU
rnacentral:tRNA from 1 species